rnacentral:lncRNA from 1 species
CCCAUUUUCCAACCUAAUCUUUCUAUACUAGAGAAUAUAUAUAGAGAUUCAAGGAUGUGACUUGUAUACAUGAAGAUAACUUAUGAAUUUGUCGCUUUCAGAUAUAUUUUUCAUAAGAUUUGCAAGGAGCAAGUAGUUUACUCUCGUAUAGUUAGAUUCUUGCGGCUUUGUACAAAAAAAAAAUUGCUUGUUGUGCUUUUUCCUCUACUACUAGUCAUUAACUUUUCUUAUGUAUUUGCUCUUGAUAAUGCACGCUCUGAAUCCAAUCAGUUCAAGUGUCAAAGGUACUACUUUCAUUUCAAUCUUCUUUCUCUUAAGCACUUUACAAUAUUUGAUGUGACUCUAUAAAAAAACAAUAUUUGAUGUGACAAUUAUUUCUAUUCCAAGUCCUGUGUACUGAGUCAAAAAAAAAAAAGUCCUGUUUAGUGUGUACAUGUAAUGUCGUUUUAGUCCAAAUUCCAAAAUGCAGGUGCUCAUCAUUUGUUGCAUCUGCAUAAUGCAGCAAGUUAAAAUUUUAAAAAGAUUGAUAAAAUGAUAAAAGACUCCUUUCACAAUUCUCAAUUUUUCAUCCUAAUAUCAUUGGACUUACAAGUCCUGAAGCUUACUUUUUUUUCCCACAAAAAUUGCUAAAUGACUUCAAAUUAGGGUUUAUUACAUUCCAC